rnacentral:rRNA from 1 species
GACGAACGCUGGCGGCGUGCUUAACACAUGCAAGUCGAACGGAAAGGCCCAGCUUGCUGGGUGCUCGAGUGGCGAACGGGUGAGUAACACAUGGGUGAUCUGCCUCUAACUUCGGGAUAAGCUUGGGAAACUGGGUCUAAUACCGGAUAGGACAAUCGCUCAGUGUCGGUUGUGGAAAGUUUUUUCGGUUAGGGAUGAGCCCGCGGCCUAUCGGCUUGUUGGUGGGGUAAUGGCCUACCAAGGCGUCGACGGGUAGCCGGCCUGAGAGGGUGGACGGCCACAUUGGGACUGAGAUACGGCCCAGACUCCUACGGGAGGCAGCAGUGGGGAAUAGUGCACAAUGGGCGCAAGCCUGAUGCAGCGACGCCGCGUGGGGGAUGACGGCCUUCGGGUUGUAAACCUCUUUCGACAGGGACGAAGCUUUGGUGACGGUACCUGUAUAAGAAGCACCGGCUAACUACGUG